rnacentral:rRNA from 1 species
UACGAAGGGGGCUAGCGUUGUUCGGAAUUACUGGGCGUAAAGGGCUCGUAGGCGGCCAACUAAGUCAGACGUGAAAUCCCUAGGCUCAACCUAGGAACUGCGUCUGAUACUGGAUGGCUUGAAUCCGGGAGAGGGAUGCAGAAUUCCAGGUGUAGCGGUGAAAUGCGUAGAUAUCUGGAGGAAUACCGGUGGCGAAGGCGGCAUCCUGGACCGGCAUUGACGCUGAGGAGCGAAAGCCAGGGGAGCAAACGGG